GGUCCGGUAGCUCAGCUGGAUAGAGCAACAGCCUUCUAAGCUGUGGGUCUUGAGUUCGAAUCUCAACCGGAUCACAA
rnacentral:tRNA from 1 species